GUGGUCAUGCCGGAGUAGUUAUCGGGAAUGACUAGAAAUCAUGUGGGCUUUGCCCGCGCAGGUUUAAAUCCUUCCCACCACA
rnacentral:tRNA from 1 species